GGAGCUGUGGCUCAGUGGUAGAGCGCUCGCCUAGCAUGUGUGGGGCCCUGGGUUCGAACCACAGCACCA
rnacentral:tRNA from 1 species